GACGAACGCUGGCGGCGUGCUUAACACAUGCAAGUCGAACGGAAAGGCCCUGCUUUUGUGGGGUGCUCGAGUGGCGAACGGGUGAGUAACACGUGAGUAACCUGCCCUUGACUUUGGGAUAACUUCAGGAAACUGGGGCUAAUACCGGAUAGGAGCUCCUGCUGCAUGGUGGGGGUUGGAAAGUUUCGGCGGUUGGGGAUGGACUCGCGGCUUAUCAGCUUGUUGGUGGGGUAGUGGCUUACCAAGGCUUUGACGGGUAGCCGGCCUGAGAGGGUGACCGGCCACAUUGGGACUGAGGUACGGCCCAGACUCCUACGGGAGGCAGCAGUGGGGAAUAUUGCACAAUGGGCGGAAGCCUGAUGCAGCAACGCCGCGUGCGGGAUGACGGCCUUCGGGUUGUAAACCGCUUUCGCCUGUGACGAAGCGUGAGUGACGAUAAUGGGUAAAGAAGCACCGGCUAACUACGUGCCAGCAGCCGCGGUGAUACGUAGGGUGCGAGCGUUGUCCGGAUUUAUUGGGCGUAAAGGGCUCGUAGGUGGUUGAUCGCGUCGGAAGUGUAAUCUUGGGGCUUAACCCUGAGCGUGCUUUCGAUACGGGUUGACUUGAGGAAGGUAGGGGAGAAUGGAAUUCCUGGUGGAGCGGUGGAAUGCGCAGAUAUCAGGAGGAACACCAGUGGCGAAGGCGGUUCUCUGGGCCUUUCCUGACGCUGAGGAGCGAAAGCGUGGGGAGCGAACAGGCUUAGAUACCCUGGUAGUCCACGCUGUAAACGGUGGGUACUAGGUGUGGGGUCCAUUCCACGGGUUCCGUGCCGUAGCUAACGCUUUAAGUACCCCGCCUGGGGAGUACGGCCGCAAGGCUAAAACUCAAAGGAAUUGACGGGGCCCCGCACAAGCGGCGGAGCAUGCGGAUUAAUUCGAUGCAACGCGUAGAACCUUACCUGGGUUUGACAUGGAUCGGGAGCGCUCAGAGAUGGGUGUGCCUCUUUUGGGGUCGGUUCACAGGUGGUGCAUGGCUGUCGUCAGCUCGUGUCGUGAGAUGUUGGGUUAAGUCCCGCAACGAGCGCAACCCUUGUUCACUGUUGCCAGCACGUUAUGGUGGGGACUCAGUGGAGACCGCCGGGGUCAACUCGGAGGAAGGUGGGGAUGACGUCAAGUCAUCAUGCCCCUUAUGUCCAGGGCUUCACGCAUGCUACAAUGGCUGGUACAGAGAGUGGCGAGCCUGUGAGGGUGAGCGAAUCUCGGAAAGCCGGUCUCAGUUCGGAUUGGGGUCUGCAACUCGACCUCAUGAAGUCGGAGUCGCUAGUAAUCGCAGAUCAGCAACGCUGCGGUGAAUACGUUCCCGGG
rnacentral:rRNA from 1 species